rnacentral:rRNA from 1 species
CUGGCGGCGUGCUUAACACAUGCAAGUCGAACGCCGAAAGGGACUUCGGUCCUGAGUAAAGUGGACGGCACGGGUGAGUAACGCGUAGACAACCUGUCUUCAUGUCUGGAAUAAUACGCCGAAAGGGGUACUAAUACCGGAUAUUCUUGCUUUUCAUAAGCUAUGCAAGCAAAGGUGGCCUCUGCAUAUGCUACUGCAUGAAGAGGGGUCUGCGUACCAUUAGCUAGUAGGUGGGGUAAUGGCCUACCUAGGCGACGAUGGUUAGCGGGUCUGAGAGGAUGAUCCGCCACACUGGCACUGGAACACGGGCCAGACUCCUACGGGAGGCAGCAGUGAGGAAUAUUGCGCAAUGGGGGAAACCCUGACGCAGCGACGCCGCGUGAGUGAAGGAAGGCCUUCGGGUCGUAAAGCUCUGUCAAGAGGAAAGAAGUGUACAAUGGCUAAUACCUGUUGUAUUUGACGGUACCUCUAAAGGAAGCACCGGCUAACUCCGUGCCAGCCGCAGC